rnacentral:tRNA from 2 species
CGCGCAGUAGGGGAGCCCGGUCGUCCCCGGGAGUUUCAUACGCUCGAGAUCGGCAGUUCGAAUCUGUCCUGCGCAACCA